rnacentral:rRNA from 1 species
AACUGUCCAGAGACUCGCCUUCGCCACUGGUCUUCCUUACGAUAUCUACGCAUUUCACUGCUACACCGUAAAUUCCAGUCUCCUCUCCAGUACUCUAGCAAAGCAGUAUCAUGUGCAGUUCCAGAGUUAAGCUCCGGGAUUUCACAUAUAACUUACUCCGCCGCCUACGCACCCUUUACGCCCAAUGAAUCCGAACAACGCUCGAGACCUCUGUAUUACCGCGGCUGCUGGCACAGAGUUAGCCGUCUCUUCCUCUUCGGCUACUAUCAAUCACUUUGGCAGUUACCCCAAAGCGCCUUGUUCACCAAUGACAGGAGUUUACAAUCCGAAGACCUUCAUCCUCCACGCGGCGUCGCUCCUUCAGGGUUUCCCCCAUUGAGAAAAAUUCUCGACUGCUGCCACCCGUAGGUGUCUGGACCGUGUCUCAGUUCCAGUGUGGCUGGUCGUCCUCUCAGACCAGCUACCCGUCAUCGCCUUGGUGAGCCGUUACCUCACCAACUAGCUGAUAGGCCGCGGGCCCAUCCAGAAGCAUCAGGUUGCCCCAACUUUGGCUACAGGAACCAUCGUCCCUUCGCCACAUGCGGUAUUAAUUCGCCUUUCGGCGAGCUAUCCCCCACUUCCGGGCAGGUUGCCCACGUGUUACUCACCCUUGCGCCACUAACCACCCUCUGUAUUGCUACAAAGAAUGAUCCGUUCGACUUGCAUGUCUUAUCCACGCCGCCAGCGUUCGUUCUGAGCCAGGAUCAAACUC